AGGGGUAUAGCUCAGUAAUAAAGUGUGUGCUUAACAUGCACGAGGUGCUGGGUUCAAUCCCCAGAACUUCCA
rnacentral:tRNA from 1 species